rnacentral:lncRNA from 1 species
UCGGCAUAACUCUUGGAGAAGACAAUUAUGGAGAUCAUGGACCCGUCGAUUGCCUGCUCCAGUUGGGUUUUUAUAAAUUCCGCUCUUUUUAGCUCGUUGUCGUCAAGAAAGGCGCGGAUUCCGGCAUCAGAUAAUGCGGCGUGGAGGUGGCCUGUGAAGCCCUUGCGUGUAUCUUCACCUCUGAAGCUCAAGAACACUUGGUACUUCCAACGUUUUGAUGAGGAGGAUGGUGAGGAUGAAGAGGAGGCUUUAUGGGCUUUCCUGGCAUCCAUUAAUUGAUACUGGUUCAGAUUAGACUAACUACAAAUUGAUUCUGCCUUCCGAUCCGACUUGAGCAGAAGAAGUUCUCAUAAUUAAUUAUUUUUUUCUGGGCAGUAGUUUGGCCCUGAGCAGCAGAUGAAGAAUAAACCAGGAAAAAAAAAAAAACAACAACAACAACUAUCACCGAGCUUAGCCAUCAACCCCUUAUCUCUGUCCUCUCCCCCAAAUAUCUAUCUCAUAAACACCAUAACCACCACUCAAAACCCCAACCCACAUGGACGGACAGUGAAGACUUCUUCACUGGUUCUCUCAACUUUUACAUCUAAAGAAAAGAAAUUUGUUUCUAAAAAGAUAGAGAAGAAAAUGUACUCAUGAGAAGGAAAUAUAGAGAGAAGAGAGAAAUAAAUAAAUAUCAAUAAAGAAGACGAAAACUUGGAAAAUAGAAAGGAAGAAGAAACCGUGCCAGGGAAAGAAGAAGAAAACUAUGCCAAGGAAAGAAGAAUAAAACAAGAAUAGGAAAAAGAUAGAGAGGAAUUAAAAAAACAAAGUGAAGACAGAGAGAUUCGGUGAGAGAGAAGAAGAAUAAUUAAAAACAAAGUAAAGUCAGGUGGGUGUUUUGUUUUUUUAAUAUAAAUUGUGAUACAAAAUUACAAAGUGAAGUUAGAGCAGCUCCAGCGCUGCUUCAAACCCAGGCAAAAGGCCCCCUCAAGAGCCCAAACGCCCUCCAGCAUGACAGAAGAGGUUCGGGCAAGAGCUGGGUCUCACCAGCCUAAGGGUAACUUUCGCCCGGGCUUGAGCUCGAGGGCUGUGACGUUAGCGUUGACGUCACGGCACGGUAAUUUAAAAUUUUUUUAUUGUUGGCGCGUGAAUUGCACGUGCCAAUGGUAAAAAAAUUUGACUUCCGUACGCUGACGUUGCCCUUGACAGAAUCCAACGGGCAUGUACCACGUGUCGCAACCGGGACUAUCUGAUAGUUUUUUUCCAGAAAUCCGACGGUCCACGUUUUUUGGCUAAAAAAAUUCCCGAAAAAAUCGAAAAAAUUCUGAAUUUUUUUUUUAAAAAUACCAAAAAAUUAUGUAUUUUUUCCCUAUAAAUACCUAACCAUUUUAUUUACUUUCCACACCAAAUCUUCGUACAAUUUCUUGUCCAUCCAAUAUUUUUUACUCUCCACUCACAUUUUUCACUUCCCACACCAAUUCUCUAUACAAACUCUUCUCCUUCCAAUAUUUUUCACUCUCAUCUCACAUUUUUCUACUACUUUCCAUUUGUAAAAAAAAAAAAAAAACAAAUGGCAUCUUUUGUCGAAACCGGAGGCUCGUGGUCAACUCAGGAAGACAUUGCGUUGUGUCAGUCUUGGGUGAACGUUAGUCAUGACCCUAUCACGGGCAAUGAGAUGAAGUUCCAUCAUAUGUGAAGCAAAAUUCAUGUAGAAUUUUGUCAAAGAUCGGGUUCCAUUCGGACCGAAAUGGCCUUGUCUAGUAGAUGGAAACUUCUAAAUAAAGAGUUAGGAAAAUAGAGAAAUGCAUUGACAAAAGCAAGGGAGAACAUUCGAAGCGGUCAAAAUUAUUCUUUUUUGGCCCUUCCGAUUCUCGUACUCUUCUUGCCAAGCAGUAGGACAAUUCUUUCACUGCCAGUGCAUGCAAUCGAUGCUUCCAAUCAUGCCUGGGAAAUCUCGAGCGUCUGCUUUUUAUAGCACCCUUUGCAGGUCCCUCGGCGUGGGUUUACGAAGGUACUCCCUCGUGUACAAAUUUUCCACUACAUCACAGAAUCUCACCAAGCACUCUAGGAUAGUUGAUUUUUCCAUCUUUGCAAUCUCAUCCACCUGCUCUGCAGAUGCCCCAUAAGCAAGCAUUCGCAAAGCAGCUAUAAGUUUUUGCUCCGGGAUAAGACCCAAAACUCCAACAUCAUCAUGCUUUUGAAUGAAGUAUAUGUCGUAAUUACAAAUAUCAUGCAUGAUUUUUUGGAACAAAUGUGGCUGCAUUUUAUAUCUCUCUCAAAACUUAGAAACAGGAUAUAACGAAUUUGGGAUAAAGUAAUCCUCCAAGAGAUUCUUAUCCCAAGACUCCCUACGUCUGUCCACAUUUGAGGCACGAGGACGACGGUGUUGCCUUGAUUGAUUAAGCAUACACACCGCUGCUGCAUGCAUUUGUUCCUCUUCUUCAUCAGCGUCCCGAUCUUCUUCAGCACGUCUACGCCAGAUUUCUUCCCUUUUUUUCUGUUGCCUCUCCAACACUCUUCUCAAGUUUGACAUGCAGAGUAGAAUGUGUUUUGUAAAAUCUGAGAAAUGAAGGAAUAUAUAAGAGAUGGUGUGAGAGGUAUGAGUUGAUGGUGUAGUUUUAUAGAGGAAUUUAGAAGAUAGAGAUGACACGUGGCACAAUUUUAUCGGGUGAAAAAUCUUAUCUGAAAUAUGAGAUUAUAAUGUUUUUAAAAUAUAUGAAAAUCUUAUAUGACAUGGGACAUGUGGCACAAUUUUAGAGAGUGAAAAUCUUAUCUGAAAUAUGAUAUUAUAAAUUUUUUUAAUGAAUAUCCGAAAAUUUUAUCUGGAAUAAGACACGUGGCAACCGAGAUUCUCAUCCGAAAAUCUUUUCUGAAAAAUAAUAGACACGUGACAACCAAAAAUCUUAUCUGAAAACUUAAUUACAAAAGAUUAUCAAAAUUAAUGGUUUAAAGUAUUAAAAAAUAGGAAAUAAAGUACAAUGAAUAGUAUUUGCCUUAGACUUGCCGUAGACUUAGCCCUCAUGGAUGGAACCACAAAUGGCAAGGCUGACGCUAUUCACGUGAAUAGUGGCAGCCCUUGCUUGCCAUUGCCCUAGACUUAGCCCUUAUAGGUGGAGAUGCUCUUAGGUGGGUGUUUUGUUUUUUCACUCAUCAAGAAUUUGUGGGUUAUUCUUCGAACUUUUUGACAGUCAACAUUCACCGUUGAUUCAUCCAAAAACAAGCUAGAUAAGCGCUUUUUGAUGUGCACGUGGCAGAAUAAUCAUGAGGAUUAGGAACCAACGGUAAAAUGCAAUUCUUGGCAAAAAUAAUCAAAUAUAUGGCUGUUGAUUUUUAUCUUAUUUUUGGCAUUGAAGAAGAAUAAUCCAAGCCCAAAGGGGUUUUCUCACCAACACUUAUCUGUUAGUCGUGAGUGGAAGAAUUCUUUUCCAACUGUUAUUCUUCAAAUAUCUCAAGUGGCCAUCAUCGUGUCUUCCUAUUACAAAAUUAGGUAGAAAGAAAGAAGGAUUAACUACAUAAAAUACCCAAUUUUUAGGGGUCGUUUCAAAUUAGUACCAAAUCUUUUAAAUUUUUAACAGGCAUACCUGAUUUUUCGUAAAACAUACAAAUUAGGCGCCGUUUGGGAUUGAUUUUUUGGGCUAAAAAUUUGCUUCAAUUUAAAGUUAAACAGUUUAAGGUGUUUGGUAAAAAUAAAAUAUACUGAUUAAUUUAAAAGCAUUGGCCUUUUAACGGCAGCUUCAAAGCAGACUUUGAGUUGCUUUUCAAAACUACUUUUAAAAGAAGCAUAGAUGAGCCUCUAAUGAAUUUUUUUAAUUCCCUAAAUACCAUCAUUAAUUUUUAAAAAUGAGACCACCUUCACCUCUAUAUCCAACUCCACCACCUUUACCAACACAGCGACCGCCGCCACCACAUCCUCCUCCUCCUCCUCCGCCACCACCACCACCACAACCUCCACCUCCACCUCCACCACCACUUCCACCACCACUACCUCAACCACCACCUCUUUCACCACCACCUUCACCUCAAUCUCUUUCACCACCACUACCACCAUAUGAUUAGCUCAUAACGCUUUCAACAUCUUGUCUAUUUUAGUCAUUAUUCACAGGUACAACAGUUUUAUAUUAAAAUUUACCAAACGAUUUUGACACUACUUUUUGUAUUAACAGCACUUUAAAAAUAUUGUUUACCAAACAUGGAGCUGCUUUACUUUAUAACUAAUUAUUUUCAAAGCACAGCAAAAACAAAUUUUUUAAAAAGUGACAGCAAUCCCAAAUUGGCCCUUAGUCACUCUGUUAGUCAGACCGUUAAUGAAGGCGUUAAGUGAUGACAUGGCUACUCCGAUGUGGCUUUUUUUACUGAGAUGGACACCACAUGAAUUAAAAAAUAAAUAAAAACAUUAUUUAUUUUUCAAAUUAAUGAAAAAAAUUAAUAUAAAUAAUAUAAAUGAUUAAAAUAACAUAAACUUAAAUAAUUUUAAAAUAAUAAUAAUAAAAGGACUAUCCCAUCCCCCAUCCUAACCAAUAUCCACCAUACCUACCCACCCCCAACCCACGCAGUACCAGACCACUAACCAACCACCACCGUCGGCUCCCUCCCUUUCUCUCCACUUCCUUCCUCUCUCUCUCUCUCUCUCACCCAAAAACAUAGCCCCCCACGUUCGACGACGAAACCAGCCUUCACCUCCAUAGAGAUAAAUUUGUGGGUUACAGCGGGUGAAGAACUUGGCGACGAAGAGAUGGUGUGGCCUUGGCAACGAACACGAAGAUGACGAAUCUAGAGUGAGGCUCGUCGGAUCUAAAGAGAGGAAGGUUGGCUGGGGCUGGAGAUGGGGAUGGGGCCUUGAUAUGAUUUACCAUACCUGGACUUACCAAACAUGAGAAAACAAUUGAUUUCUCAUCUCCAAGUCUCCUUUCCCAUGAACUAAAAGGGGCCUUGAUAUGAUUGUAAACAGUUAGUGAGUUAGGUGUGCAAGGCACGUGAGUUGUUAGUAGUGUAUAUGAAUUAGUUAGACAACUGUAUAAAGUUUAAUAGUACUGUAGCUUAAAAGAUUAAGAAAUACAGAAAUCAAGAUUGCAAUUCUUAUACAAAACAUGCACUUUUUUUUGUUACUGCCAUAAGGUAAACAAACUAAUUACACAAACUUUCAUUCUCAAAAUAACCCAUCUGUCAAUACAACCACAAAAUAUGAAAUUUUGUUUUUUCUUCUUCAAAUAUCAAUUAAGGCAGAGUCUUCACACGAGGUAGAAUUGAUAUUGGUCUUUUGAUAAUAAAAUUCCUUUGUUUUAUUUUUCAGAAUCAUACUUCAUUAAAACCGGGAAAGGAAGGAACAACAAAGUAGAAGCCCAAAUAAGAAAAUUUUGUAUUUUUUGGGUACACAACGUGGCUGGUGUACCAUCCAAUACAUAUGGGACAUGUGAAAAUAUUUUAUUUUACAUUCUAUAUGUGUAUUGGACAAUAUUUUCAUAUGUUCUAUGUGUAUUGGAUGGCAAAUUAGCCACAUGGUGUACCUACAACAUGCAAAAGUUACUCCAAAAACAGGUACAUAUGAGAUAGAUUUAACUAGACAGAUAAUUAAAUCUCUUUCUUCAUAAUAAGAACAAAAGUGUAUAUGGAAAAACUUUAUAAAAUCAAGUUCUUUUUUUGAACAAAAGUGUAGGACUCAGGCACCUUAUUAGCAAUUAAUAGAAAAAAAACAAACAAACAAAAAGAAGCACCAGAUCAGACUUUGAGAGACAAAAAGAAGUUUGAAGUAUUCUUGAUGAUAACAAAAGAAGAAUUAAUUUUCGAAACAAGUUCCGAAUGGAUACAAGGGCGAAAGGCUCAUCUUCCAAUUCAUACAAAUCAAGUUCCGAAUGGAUAUUUCCCUUCAUAAGUUUGUCCCUAUCCUCUUAACCAUCACAAAAUCAACUAGAGGCCUUACAAGAUUCGAUACGUGGUCACCGCCUUCCAAACAGAGCACAUCGUUUGACAAAUGUCCCUGCCAAAGAAAUCAAGACUGCAAUUUCUCUUUGUUUCUCUUUCCUUCUUCUUCAGGUAUAUUCCUCAUACUUCUCUGAAUAUGUUGGUUAACAUGGUAUCAGCGCCCACAGUGGUUCUCUCUGUUUCUUUCUCUCAAUUUCAAUUCUAGGGUUUUCUCUCUGCUUCAUCAUGGCUUCUUCUUCCUCCAUCAAGAUUGUUGGCUUGCUCAGUAUGGGUUACCAUUCGUCUCAGUGACAACAAUUUCUUGAAAUGGACUCAUCAACUCCCCCUCAAAAAUCCGAAUUUGUUUCCAAAUCAUACAAAUGAGGAUCCGGAUUAUCCAUAUUUUCCUUCAUGACUUUGUCCCAUUCUAGAUGAACCCCUGUCUUCUUCACUCUCACAAAAUCAACAUCAUCAGGCCUUACAAGAAUGCAGACUCGGUCCCCGCCUUGCAAACAGAGCACAUCGUUUGACAACUGUCCCUGCCAAAGAUAUCCAAGUGCCGAACGGAGCAUAUUUUGAGGGUUACUGUAAGUUCCGAAUGCUAUCCAGGUGCGCAAAGCAGUUUGUUUGGUAAGAUUUCUAACGAUAAUGCCAAUACGACCUUGAGAAUUUUCAAAUUCCGGAUAAUCACAAUAAGACCUUCUUGUGUAAACGAAGCAAAUAGUCAACCCUUUUAAAUCACGACCCAUGAUUCUUUGAGGAACGUUAAAGAAGACGAAAUUGUCCACAUCAUUGACGAUUUUGAACCACUCAGGAAUAUCAUAAAUUCCAUUCAAAUAAAUUCCACCAAAUCCGCAAGAAGUCCAUCUCUGCACACCAGAAGCAAGACAGUCUUAUACAUGCAUGCAUAUACCAUUACAUGGGCAGUCAGAUUGUGUGUGUGUGAGUGUGCGCGCGCGCAAGAGAGAGAGAGAGAGAGAGAGAGAGAGACCUGUAGGAUGUUGUUCCUAAAAUUGGCGGUCAGAUUGGUGCAGCUUUCCAUAUGAAUCCUUGUCAUGGAGUUUAAUGACUUAUCCAAGCCUGGAACCUCAGUGAGUUUGAACGAAUUACUUAGAUACAAUUCUCUCAUAUUCGACAUUUUUGAAAAAUCUGGAAUUGUUUUCAAAUUUGGGCAGACAUUUGCUUUCAGAACAUACAAAUUGGUUGGUAAAUCUGGGAUUGCAAGAAGUUUUCUGCACGCAUUUAAAGACAAGACCUUGAGCUUUGAAAGACCAGCGAGACUUGGCAGGCUACGAAAAUUAUUGGCUCCAAGAAGCAGAUGUUCUAAGGAAAUUAGGCUACAUAGAUCCUUAGGGAUUGCAUCCUCAGUUAACCGACAGCAGCCUGCAAGACGUAACUAAAGAGUUGAAGGCAUGUAACGAAAGGGGUAAAAGAUGGAAUUUCAAAAUUCUCACCAGAUAGAGAUAAAAUUCUCAACUUCUUCAAUUUUACUAUGGAAGAUGGAAUUUGUCUGAUGGCUGUGUAAUCCGCUUUCAGAGUUGUCAAUGAUACCAUGUCUCCUAAGCCCUCAGCCAACUUUCCAAAAUUUAAACAAACAUUAAGUAGAAGAGUUUCAACAGACUUGGAUUUAUAGAAAUUCAGUGGGAGAUCCUUUAGAUGGGUGCAGCGUUGAAGAUUUACCAAAGAAAGUCUUCCAAGAUCCCCGAUGGAUGAGUGAACCUUGGACAGACUCUCACAGUCUUGCAAUAUCAAUUCCUCGAGAUUUGGGAGUUUUGAAAAGUCUGGUGAUUUUGUUAGCCAAUGGCAAUAGCUGAGAUUUAGGAUUUUCAAAUUCUGAUGCAACUGUUACACAAAAACAAAAUUAGAAUGGAAAUUAAAAUCCAAAAGGAAGGUCUCUGAUACAGAAAUUAAACCAAAAUGAAGAGAAGGUGAAGUAUAAUAUAUGUAUAGAACCACAAGGAAAGAACCAACAACAACUAGUUUUGGUUGAGAUUAUUAUACCUUGCAAUCCUUCCAAACUAUUUUGAGUUUGCUAUGCCGCAGGUCUAAAGCAACUAGUUUUGGUUGCGUAGGAAAGUCAUCUGGUAUGGACUCUAAAGGAAAAUAAUGCCAGCACAACCAUAUUAGCCUUUUGGGAAAAUCUUUGUACUCUCCAGUGAGCUUUACUCCGCUGAGGUGGAGUAACCUCAGUUUUUUCAUGUUGGUAAAUGCUUGUGCUCUAGCCCUGUAACAGCCAUGUAGAGCAACUCCUUCAAUUUCGUCAGUUCCCUGUUAACAAAAGAUACCGAGUUAGAAAAAUGAUUUACAAACAUGAAAAUCCGUGUAUGCAUUAACCAAAAGGUAUAAUUUUGUAUUGGACCAUGUUAACAAAAGAUACCGAGUUAGAAAAAUGAUUUACAAACAUGUAAAAUCCGCGUAUGUAUUAACCAAAAGGUAUAAUUAAUAGUAUUGGACCAUGUUACGCCCUAUAGUUUGUGUUUGCAAUCAGAGCACAUAUUUUUUGUUGGUUAUGACUAAUUGAGCUUUGAUAUAAAAGGAUAUAAUAUAAGAAAUGACAACGGAGUCUAGUAAAGUGAAAAAUGGUCUAAACUUACAGACUAAGGUCUGAGGUUCAAAUUCAUAUGGCACUUUGGUAGUGUGGAUGUGUGAGAAUCCCCUCUUUUACUUUGGUUUAGACUAUCGUUUGAACAAAACAAAACAAAAAAGAAAUGGAAGAGGACAUUUUAAUUUAUUAUAGACACAGGAUACAUAUGCUUCUCUUGCAUGAUGCAUUCUAAAAACUUUAUUGGGAAAGUACUUACAGAUUCAUCGCUCAAUACAUUUAUUAUGUCUUCACAUUUCCACAAUCUACUAAAUUUUUCAGGGCGACCGUGGGCAUUUUCAUAAACGAUCUCUCUUCCCAUGUCUCGAAGCAAAUCAUGCAUCAUCAGCUUGUUUUGCUCACUAACAGUUACAAGGCCCCGUUCAAUGAGGACACGGAUUCCUAUCGUUGCAGAAAAGCCACAUCCAUCUAAUAUUUGUGUGACAUAGUCCUUGUCCAUUCCAAUAAAGAAACAAGAUAUAUCAAGGAAUGUAUUUCCGUAUGUACGGUCAGGUAGCCCGUCAAAGCUUAUUCUCAGUAUUUUUGAAACUGCUUCAUGAGGACUUCUUUCCAAUCUCUCCAAUUGGCUUUCCCAUUCUAAUGCGGUUCUUUUAAUCAAAAAAGACCCUACAACUCGAAGUGCUAGUGGCAAGCCUUGACAGUAACGAAUUACACGUUUUGAGAGGUGAAGGUAUUCUUGAUCAGGAUCACCUCUUUUGAAGGCAUGCCAACUAAAGAGCUCUAGAGCUUCUUCCUCAUCCAUUUCCUGAGCCAUAUAUGUGCUAUCCACUCCAACUUGGUCUAGCAAAUGUUUAUUUCUUGUUGUUAUAAUAAUUCUACUCCCAGGACCAAACCAAUCACGAGCUCUAGCUAUUGCUUCUAGUUGUUGUAGAUCAUCUGCAUCGUCAAUUAUGACAAGUGCUCUUUUACAGUGAAGUCUUUCUUGUAUCACAGUGAUCCCUACAUCAACAGAAUCAACCUUUAUGGGGUCCUUGCUUUUCAAGAUAUCAUUUAGAAGUUUUUCUUGCAAACCAACCAGACCAGUAAUGGGUUGGUUUGCAAUUACUCCCCUCACAUUUGCAAGGAAACUCCUACCUUCAAAGCUACCUACAAAUUUGUUAUAAAUGGCUUUGGCAAGCGUUGUUUUCCCAAUGCCGCCCAUCCCCCAAAUACCAAUCAUGCGAACAACAUCCUUAGAACCUGAAUUUUCAAUAUCUAAGUGUUUACUCAAAACCUUCAUCCGAGAAGUAAUUCCAACAAGGUGUUCGAUGUCUAAUUGGUAUGUGUUGUACAACUGCUUAUUAACCUCCCGAAGAAUUUUCUUGAUAAACUUUGCUUCAUACCUGGCAAUUAAACUACGAACCAUUCGAUGUGGAACAAACUACAAUAAAUUGAAUCCCUAACUUAAUAAUUUAGAAUGACCAAAUUAUUUUCUUUUUUUAUACAUAGUUAACAAUUUAGAUAUAAUUAACAAUUCAGAUUGGGAUUUAACAUUAUCAAAUAAGAAAGAAUGCAUAGUUAAAACAUAGUUUGAAAAACAAAAACAAAAACAAAAAGGACAGAAAACAUAUGGUUGUCAAGUAAGGAGAUGAUAAUCCAAGGAACAAGAAAUUAGUAAUUACCCAUCAGCAUUUUUAAGAUCUUCCCCACACAAAUCUGCAGCUUGAGUGAGAGCAUUUCUCCACCGCUUUACCUUUUCUUUCUCAUGUUUACCUUCACAGAUGCCCGCUUCAUGUUUCGCAAAUGCUAGUGCAAAACUACCAGUUUGUUUCCGGACAUCUGAAGCAUCAACAUUAUAGAACAAUGGAAUAACCUUUUGCCCCAAUCUUUCUCUACACUCCAUGAUCUUCACCAGCUCGUCAAGACACCAAGUGGAAUCGGCAUAACUCUUGGAGAAGACAAUUACGGAGAUCAUGGACCCGUCGAUUGCCCGCUCCAGUUGGGUUUUUAUAAAUUCCGCUCUUUCUAGCUCGUUGUCGUCAAGAAAGGUGCUGAUUCCGGCAUCAGAUAAUGCUUCGUGGAGGUGGCCUGUGAAGCCCUUGCGUGUGUCUUCACCUCUGAAGCUCAAGAACACUUGGUACUUCCAACGUUUUGAUGAGGAGGAUGGUGAGGAAGAAGAGGGGGCUUUAUGGGCUUUCCUGGCAUCCAUUAAUUGAUACUGGUUCAGAUUAG